rnacentral:rRNA from 1 species
GACAGAGGGUGCAAACGUUUGUUCGGAAUUACUGGGCGUAAAGCGUGCGCAGACGGUUGCGUAAGUCAGAUGUGAAAGCCCCGGGCUCAACCUGGGAACUGCAUUCAAAACUGACGAGCUAGAGUAUGGUAGAGGGUGGUGGAAUUUCCUGUGUAGCGGUGAAAUGCGUAGAUAUCGUCUGGAACGCCGAAGGUGAAAACAGCUCGCUGGGGCUGUGCUGACGCUGAGACACGAAAGCCAGGGGAGCGAACGGG